rnacentral:rRNA from 1 species
GCAGCCGCCACGGUAAUACGUAGGGUGCAAGCGUUAAUCGGAAUUACUGGGCGUAAAGCGUGCGCAGGCGGUUUUGUAAGUCUGUCGUGAAAUCCCCGGGCCCAACCUGGGAAUGGCGAUGGAGACUGCAAGGCUAGAAUCUGGCAGAGGGGGGUAGAAUUCCACGUGUAGCAGUGAAAUGCGUAGAUAUGUGGAGGAAUACCGAUGGCGAAGGCAGCCCCCAGGGCCAAUACUGACGCUCAUGCACGAAAGCGUGGGGAGCAAACAGUAUUAGAUACCCCAGUAGUCCCUGUCUCUUAUAC